rnacentral:rRNA from 1 species
CGGAUCUCUUAAAGCUGUUCUCAGUUCGGACUGCAGUCUGCAACUCGACUGCACGAAGCUGGAAUCGCUAGUAAUCGCGGAUCAGCACGCCGCGGUGAAUACGUUCCCGGGCCUUGUACACACCGCCCGUCACACCAUGGAAGUCUGCAAUGCCCGAAGCCGGUGGCCUAACCACUUAUGUGGAAGGAGCCGUCUAAGGCAGGGCAGAUGACUGGGGUGAAGUCGUAACAAGGUACC